AACGAACGCUGGCGGCAUGCCUAACACAUGCAAGUCGAACGAGACCUUCGGGUCUAGUGGCGCACGGGUGCGUAACGCGUGGGAACCUGCCCUUAGGUUCGGAAUAACUCCCCGAAAGGGGUGCUAAUACCGGAUAAUGUCUUCGGACCAAAGAUUUAUCGCCUUUGGAUGGGCCCGCGUUGGAUUAGCUAGUUGGUAGGGUAAAAGCCUACCAAGGCGACGAUCCAUAGCUGGUCUGAGAGGAUGAUCAGCCACACUGGGACUGAGACACGGCCCAGACUCCUACGGGAGGCAGCAGUGGGGAAUAUUGGACGAGGGGCGAAAGCCUGAUCCAGCAAUGCGGGGUGAGUGAUGAAGGCCUUAGGGUUGUAAAGCUCUUUUACCCGGGAUGAUAAUGACAGUACCGGGAGAAUAAGCUCCGGCUAACUCCGUG
rnacentral:rRNA from 1 species